rnacentral:rRNA from 1 species
UACGUAGGGUGCAAGCGUUGUCCGGAAUUAUUGGCGAAGAAGCAGCGUAGGCGGUCUGUCGCGUCUGCUGUGAAAACUCAGGGCUUAACCCUGAGCUUGCAGUGGGUACGGGCAGACUAGAGUGCGGUAGGGGAGACUGGAAUUCCUGGUGUAGCGGUGAAAUGCGCAGAUAUCAGGAGGAACACCGGAUGGCGAAGGCAGGUCUCUGGGCAUUAACUGA